AGCGAACGCUGGCGGCAGGCUUAACACAUGCAAGUCGAGCGGGCACUUCGGUGUCAGCGGCAGACGGGUGAGUAACACGUGGGAACGUACCCUUCGGUUCGGAAUAACGCUGGGAAACUAGCGCUAAUACCGGAUACGCCCUUAUGGGGAAAGGUUUACUGCCGAAGGAUCGGCCCGCGUCUGAUUAGCUAGUUGGUGGGGUAAUGGCCUACCAAGGCGACGAUCAGUAGCUGGUCUGAGAGGAUGAUCAGCCACACUGGGACUGAGACACGGCCCAGACUCCUACGGGAGGCAGCAGUGGGGAAUAUUGGACAAUGGGCGCAAGCCUGAUCCAGCCAUGCCGCGUGAGUGAUGAAGGCCUUAGGGUUGUAAAGCUCUUUUGUCC
rnacentral:rRNA from 1 species